CUGUGAGCUCGAUGAGUAGGGCGGGACACGUGGUAUCCUGUCUGAAUAUGGGGGGACCAUCCUCCAAGGCUAAAUACUCCUGACUGACCGAUAGUGAACCAGUACCGUGAGGGAAAGGCGAAAAGAACCCCGGCGAGGGGAGUGAAAAAGAACCUGAAACCGUGUACGUACAAGCAGUGGGAGCACGCUUAGGCGUGUGACUGCGUACCUUUUGUAUAAUGGGUCAGCGACUUAUAUUCUGUAGCAAGGUUAACCGAAUAGGGGAGCCGAAGGGAAACCGAGUCUUAACUGGGCGUUAAGUUGCAGGGUAUAGACCCGAAACCCGGUGAUCUAGCCAUGGGCAGGUUGAAGGUUGGGUAACACUAACUGGAGGACCGAACCGACUAAUGUUGAAAAAUUAGCGGAUGACUUGUGGCUGGGGGUGAAAGGCCAAUCAAACCGGGAGAUAGCUGGUUCUCCCCGAAAGCUAUUUAGGUAGCGCCUCGUGAAUUCAUCUCCGGGGGUAGAGCACUGUUUCGGCAAGGGGGUCAUCCCGACUUACCAACCCGAUGCAAACUGCGAAUACCGGAGAAUGUUAUCACGGGAGACACACGGCGGGUGCUAACGUCCGUCGUGAAGAGGGAAACAACCCAGACCGCCAGCUAAGGUCCCAAAGUCAUGGUUAAGUGGGAAACGAUGUGGGAAGGCCCAGACAGCCAGGAUGUUGGCUUAGAAGCAGCCAUCAUUUAAAGAAAGCGUAAUAGCUCACUGGUCGAGUCGGCCUGCGCGGAAGAUGUAACGGGGCUAAACCAUG
rnacentral:rRNA from 2 species